GGGGGUCUUUCCCCCUUUAAAAUUAAUUGAAUUGGGGGGGGGGGGUUUGUUUGUUUGUUUGUUUGUUUGUUUGUUUCUGUAUGGGGUCUAUAUUAUUGUUACCGGAGAAGUUUCAUGUUUAGUUUGGAAAGUUUUUAUUUUAUUUUAGGUCCAGCGCGCGCGCCAGAUGGGGAAGACAUCACGUGACUUGGGUUUAUAAUAACGAAAACUUAGUAUUUUUAUUUCUCUUUAGGUCGGGAUGUUGAACAGACAACAUGUAUAGAGACGGAAUGUACACAAUGUAAUUUCUUUUGUCAUUGUUGGAAAUUGACAUUUUGAUCACAGUUCACCAGCAGUGCAUGUUUUGGAUUUAAUUGUUCCGGUGUAACUUUAAUACGCAUUUAAUGAUUAUUUUCUUAAAAUGUACAUUUUUCAGCACCAGUUUGUAACACAGAUUAGUAUUUUAAUCUAGGAGCGGACAUUUUAUUGUAGGAUGUCACUGAGAUUUACGGACCUAGCAAGCGAUUUUUAGGGCAUUGCCAUUUUUUUUCUCUAGGAAAAGUCUUGAGAGAUAUCCGCACCAAGUUUUUUUAUGAACUUUUAGUACAUGUAUGCACUGCUGACUGCAAAUUUUGAGGUCGAUUGUACUUGUAGUUUCAGAGUACAUGUGGAUUUUUUUUUUCAGAAGUGACGCAAGAACAAUAUUAAAUUUCAAUUUUUCAUGAAACAUGAUUGAUUGAUCAUGAUCAUGAUUGAUUGAUUACUUGACUGAUUGAUUGAUCAUGAUCAUGAUUGAUUGAUUACUUGAUUGAUUGAUUGAUUGGUUGGUUGGUUGGUUGGUUGGUUGGUUAAACACAUUGGAUAGGGUCAAUUGAAACAGCGAAAAAGAAACAAAGAAGAUCUUGGACCGUAUAUUAAACACAUGAGACGGAUACAUGAUUGAUUGAUCAUGAUCAUGAUUGAUUGAUUACUUGAUUAGCUGGUUGGUUGGUUGGUUGGUUGGUUGGUUGGUUGGUUGGUUGGUUAAACACGUUGGAUAGGGUCAAUUGAAACAGCGAAAAAGAAACAAAGAUCUUGGACCCUAUAUUAAACACAUGAGACGGAAACAUGAUUGAUUGAUCAUGAUUGAUUGAUUGAUUGAUUGAUUGAUUGAUUGAUUGAUUGAUUGAUUGAUUGGUUGGUUGGUUGGUUAAACACGUUGGAAAGGGUCAAUUGAAACAGCGAAAAAGAAACAAAGGAGAUCUUGAACCCUAUAUUAAACACAUGAGACGGAAACAUGAUUGAUUGAUUGAUUAAUCAUGAUCAUGAUUGGUUGAUUGAUCAUGAUUGGUUGAUUGAUCAUGAUCAUGAUUUGUUGAUUGAUCAUUAUUGAUUGAUCAUGAUUGGUUGGUUGGUUGGUUGGUUGGCAAACACACAUAAAAUUCUUCAAGUCGUGCCCCAAAUCACAUAUGUACAUGACCUUGACCUUUGACCUUGUGACCUUUGUCAAGGUCAUUGCUUCACAAUGUCAUUGCAAAAGACCCUAUGGGUCAAGGACCUUUUGUUUAAGAGUUUUGCCUAAUAAUGGCUUUUUAUAAACCAUCAAUGGGGGUUAUGUCCCUUACAUAAUGGUAAAACCAAUACAGUCAUAAUGUAACAAAGUUGCCCCUUGAAGUACUGAACAUUUUUCACUGCUUAAAUUUUCUGUAUCUAUAACCAUUCAAGAAUUAUAGGGAAAUCAAAGACAUAUGAAAAUCUAAAAUAUGACCUUGACCUUUGACCUUGACCUAAUUUUCUAAGUUAGGACCCAGGGGACUCAAAUAAAAACAUUCCAGGGUUAUACGGUUAACGGUUUAUGAGUUAAAAAAAACAUACCGACAAAUUUAUUCCGUAAAGGUACAUAACUCCUAUAAAAUUUCAUCGAAUCGCUUCGAUCCAAAUUAGCCAAAAAUUCCUGAGGAUGUAACGAACAAUUUGUAAAAAGAAUUUUGUCGCUUUCUUAUUUUGUUACGAAGGAGAUGCACACACAUGACAAACAGUGAAUAGGGAGAUAACUCUUACAAAGAAAAUGGUUCGGCUUAGCAGGGUGAAAUUUAAAAGCGCAUAAACUAUACGAUACAAUAUGAAAAAAAUCUAAGCGACAUAUUGCGAAACAAACAUUUAUCGCAAGAACAAAAUUUGGCGGAAAAAAAAAAAAAAUAAUAAUAAUAAUAAUCAGAACAAAUACAAUAGGCUUUCCACAGAAAAGUGGAAAGACCUAAUAAUAUGGAAAAAACUGGAGUUGUCGUUCGUUUUACAUUGAUAGGAUAGAUAGUACACAACCUACAUUCAGUUGUAAGUGGAGGGUUAAAAAAAAAGGGGGGGGCAAAAGGGGGUCUCGGGGAGAUUUUUUUUUUUUUUUAUUAACGGAACAGAAUGGUUAAAAAGGUUUUUUACAAUAUAAAUCAAUUGCUUUUAAAAAAGCAAUUGUAGGGGGUCUUUCCCCCUUUAAAAUUAAUUGAAUUGGGGGGGGGGUUUGUUUGUUUGUUUGUUUGUUUGUUUG
rnacentral:lncRNA from 1 species